AUGAACACGAUGGAGGGUGAGCAGGAUUCAUUCACAGCUCCCACUUCAUUCUACUGGAUGUGGCUGUGACGUGGGGUGAAGGACUGUAAUGGAGACAAAGCAGUUUUCAUUCGUUAUAGAAGACAAGCUGACAGUGGCAGUCUGUGGUCGGCUUGUUUUCGGAGUUGUAUGAAUCAACCAAUUAUUACUAUAGUCCAGAAAGGAGCAAGCCUGCAGAAGUGUGAGUGAGGAGGCUGGAGUGGCAGGGUGUGACAGGCAGGUCUGAUCCCCAGCUGUGCCUCAUCAGAGAAUUAGCAAGGGUUUAAAGGAGGAGCAGGUUCUUGAGGCAGACACCAGAGGGUUAAAUCACAUACUGUGUUCCUGUUCGUGGAUCGUUCCUUUGAUCCGUGUUUUUCCUGGGCCGUACCUGAGCCGCGCACUUGAAUCCUGGGACGACUGCUCAGUCUCCGCUCCUCUGUCUGCCUCCCACUAGCUUACGGUCACUUGAAGGCUCCUCUGACCCGUUGCCUGUCUGUCCACCAUCCAACGUCUUUUCACUACCGGAUCAGUAAGCAGCCGCAUCUGAACUGUUCUGUCAGUUCCACCUGUCACCCAAUCCUGCUGGGCUUUAACAAUGCUUCCCUCUUCUAGUGUGGAACUGGACUUCCUCCCCCUUCGAUUACCCGCCUCUUAUUUUUUCAAUAAACCCUUUGAACCCGCUUCAGGUCUAUAAUUGCUGGCUGCAUUUGAGUCUCAGUUCAAAACAUGACAGAUUCGAGCACUUGCAU